rnacentral:rRNA from 1 species
GACGAACGCUGGCGGCGUGCUUAACACAUGCAAGUCGAGCGGUAAGGCCCUUUCGGGGGUACACGAGCGGCGAACGGGUGAGUAACACGUGGGUGACCUGCCUUCAGCUCUGGGAUAAGCCUGGGAAACCGGGUCUAAUACCGGAUAUGACCUCAUGACGCAUGUUGUGGGGUGGAAAGCCUUUAUGCGGCUGGGGAUGGGCCCGCGGCCUAUCAGUCUUGUUGGUGGGGUGAGUGGCCUACCGAAGGCGACGACGGGUAGCCGGCCUGAGAGGGCGACCGGCCACACUGGGACUGAGACACGGCCCAGA